rnacentral:rRNA from 1 species
UGGGGAAUUUUGGACAAUGGGUGAAAGCCUGAUCCAGCAAUGCCGCGUGUGUGAAGAAGGCCUUCGGGUUGUAAAGCACUUUUGUCCGGAAAGAAAUCCUUGGCUCUAAUACAGUCGGGGGAUGACGGUGCCGGAAGAAUAAGCACCGGCUAACUACGUGCCAGCAGCCGCGGUAAUACGUAGGGUGCAAGCGUUAAUCGGAAUUACUGGGCGUAAAGCGUGCGCAGGCGGUUUGCUAAGACCGAUGUGAAAUCCCCGGGCUCAACCUGGGAACUGCAUUGGUGACUGGCAGGGCUAGAGUAUGGCAGAGGGGGGUAGAAUUCCACGUGUAGCAGUGAAAUGCGUAGAGAUGUGGAGGAAUACCGAUGGCGAAGGCAGCCCCCUGGGCCAAUACUGACGCUCAUGCACGAAAGCGUGGGGAGCAAACAGGAUUAGAUACCCUGGUAGUCCACGCCCUAAACGAUGUCAACUAGUUGUUGGGGAUUCAUUUCCUUAGUAACGUAGCUAACGCGUGAAGUUGACCGCCUGGGGAGUACGGUCGCAAGAUUAAAAGCUC